GGGGUAUGGGGCAUGCUACCAUGCAAGUCGAACGGAAACGAUGGGAGCUUGCUCCCAGGCGUCGAGUGGCGGACGGCUUUGUAAUACUUAGGAAUCUACCCAGUAGCGGGGGACAACUCCCGUAAACUCGAGCUAACACCGCAUACGCUCUACGGAGGAAAGCAGGGGAUCUUCGGACCUUGCACUAUUGGAUGAGCCUAAGUCGGAUUAGCUUGUUGGUGAGGUAAAGGCUCACCAAGGCGACGAUCCGUAGCUGGUCUGAGAGGACGAUCAGCCACACUGGGACUGAGACACGGCCCAGACUCCUACGGGAGGCAGCAGUGGGGAAUAUUGGACAAUGGGGGCAACCCUGAUCCAGCAAUGCCGCGUGUGUGAAGAAGGCCUGCGGGUUGUAAAGCACUUUCAGUAGAGAAGAAAAGCCUAGGGUUAAUACCCCUGAGUCUUGACGUUACCUACAGAAGAAGCUCCGGCUAACUCCGUGCCAGCAGCCGCGGUAAUACGGAGGGAGCGAGCGUUAAUCGGAAUUACUGGGCGUAAAGCGCACGUAGGCGGCUUUGUAAGUCGGAUGUGAAAGCCCCGGGCUUAACCUGGGAAUGGCAUUCGAUACUGCAGAGCUAGAGUAUGGUAGAGGGAAGUGGAAUUUCCGGUGUAGCGGUGAAAUGCGUAGAUAUCGGAAGGAACACCGGUGGCGAAGGCGACUUCCUGGGCCAAUACUGACGCUGAGGUGCGAAAGCGUGGGUAGCAAACAGGAUUAGAUACCCUGGUAGCCCCCGCCGUAAACGAAGAGAACUAGAUGUCGGGAGGAUCUGCCUUUCGGUGUCGCACCUAACGCGUUAAGUUCCCGGCUGGGGGAGGACCCCGGCAACGGUAAAACUCAAA
rnacentral:rRNA from 1 species